rnacentral:rRNA from 1 species
UACGUAGGGUGCGAGCGUUAAUCGGAAUUACUGGGCGUAAAGCGUGCGCAGGCGGUUUUGCAAGCCGGAUGUGAAAUCCCCGGGCUCAACCUGGGAAUGGCAUUUGGGACUGCAAGGCUCGAGUGCGGUAGAGGAGACUGGAAUUCCUGGUGUAGCAGUGAAAUGCGUAGAUAUCAGGAGGAAUACCGAUGGCGAAGGCAGGUCUCUGGGCUGACACUGACGCUCAUGCACGAAAGCGUGGGGAGCAAACAGG